rnacentral:tRNA from 1 species
GGAGGAGUGUCCGAGUGGUUUAAGGAGGCGGUCUUGAAAACCGUUGGGCUUCACGGUCCCGUGGGUUCGAAUCCUACCUCCUCCG